GGCUUGGUACUUUAAAAAAAAGGUUUGAUUUGCAUUCAAAGAUUGGGAUUUCUUCCCCCAAGCUA
rnacentral:tRNA from 1 species